CGCUCAUGUUUUGUUCCGUUUCUGUUCUAUGUUUUCGUCUAUAGCCAAAGAUACUUCCAGGCCACAAUUGCAGUAGAGAAGCCAGGCAGGAAAAGCGAACUUGCCAGCAUGCGAUGUAAAAAUGUUCAUGAAAAUCGAAGGAAGACAGUUCCAAUAGCGCACGGACGGGUGCGCGUUAUGGAAUGGUUUUUAAUUAUUUUUGGAAAAUGAAAAUAUCACAAAAUAGCUUUAUUAUAUACCCUUGAAUUUGUAAUAAAAUAAGCUUUAUUUUGCUUAUAAAAAGAUAUAAAAAUUUUGAAAAAAAUAGUUUCAAUAACAUACGCUUCGAAGGAGAAAACCAAUUUUCUCCAAAAGGAUAUUUCAUCCCGUAAAAGUGCGUAUGGACUCGUAUAAAAAAAAUACGUGUCUCUUAUUUUGACCUAGACUACAACAUAUUUAAAGCUUAUCAAAAUUGGAGUGUCACACUUGGGUAGGUAGUAAGUUAAGUAAGUUAAUUUUAUAUUCAUGUAAUUUUUAACAUAUUUAGAUUAAUUUGAUAUAUUAAUAACUUUAACUUAACUCAGUUAAAAAAUAUAUUAACCUACCUAACCCUGAUUAUAAAUAUAUAGCAUGUUAAAAUAAGAAAAGAAAUAAGAGAAAUCGGAUAAUUGAAACAAGACUUCAUUUUUAAGCAAAAAUUUGGUAAAGAGACGUUCAAUAAUCAUAAAAACAAAUUUUACAUAUAACAUUGUCAAAAUAUAUUGCAUUUCCAUGCGUCCCCACUCGAGUGGAUAGGGAUUAAUCGUUAUUAUACGACACGUAGUACAAUUGCAAAUAAUGACAGAACUCAUUGUUUACAUGAAUAUCCUAUAAUUUUGUUAACAGUCUAUGUCGGAAGCAGAUAAUGUGUACUGCGACUAUACUAUAAAGUAACAGAGACGGUGUAUAAAUAAAAUUACGGAAGAAAAGAAGUUUUUCCAAGUAUCAGUUCUUUCUGCACUCUCAUUUCUUGAAUAAUAAUUCUGUCGACAAGCAACAAAUGCCUAUUGCGUUUCAUACUAAUCGUGAAAAUUACUAGAAGCACGACAGUGCUCGUGAUGAUAAUUACGCAUUAGGUAUUCUAAGCGAACGGUAUUAAAUUGUGUGCUGUUCAACCUUCAGUUUUGAAAAAAAUAAAGCGAGGGGAGAAAACACUUUUGAUGUGUGCGCUUGAAUCAUGUAAUGAUAAAUAGUUUCUUUUACUAAAUCAAAAAAUGUUGUCGUGUAACAUUCGCUUAUGGACUAAAUUUCAAUAGAACAAAAAUUGCAAAGAUAUUGUAGACAUAUAGUUACAAAUAUUGGUAAUGAAACGUAUCUAUUUAAACCAUAUAUACGUCCUUUUAAUAAAAUCUAAACGUACAACGCACUCUGUACCUAGUCGUAUAUCUGUUUUGAGUAAUUUGACACACAAUUAGUAAUAAUGAAAAAAAUAAAAUAAAAUAUUAAUUGCAUUUACAUUUUAAAUUUACACUAUAAGUAUAUAAGUAUAUAAAAUUUAAAAACUGAUAUUUUCAAUAACAUUUUAAUUCUUUAUUCUUUACUACUAUUCAAUUUAUCAGCUUAGUUUACUUAUCAUACUACGUUUACGAAUAACAAAUAAUAUUUAUUUUUUACUGCAGUAGUCAUAACAUCCAAAACAGAUACAGAGUGUUUGACAUUAGAUGUAACCAUAUGAUAUCGCUUAUUUAGGCAAAAACAGAGGACUAAAUUGAAACAAAAAGUCCUGUAUUUUAUAAUUUUUACAAUGGUUAACAAGUUAUUAAUUUAUGAAGAUAGCCAAAUUCGCCUGGCCAGUGGCCUACUGUCAAAAGUAAACGGCAAGGUACAACCACUCAGCGAUCAUUGUUGCUACUUACGCAGGAAGAUAUUUCGAAA